rnacentral:ncRNA from 2 species
UAGAUGCACUAGGGGUGUUUUUUUAACUGAGAUGAGUAUUAACUCGAACCCUUUGAACCUGAACUAGAUCGUACUAGCGUAGGAAAGUGUUUGUGAAAAGAA